GGCAGCGUGGAGUCUUCCCUCAUCAGUUCUAGCGAACAGUCGAUUCCGAACAGGUCACACGCAGUUUGUUCCUCUUCUUCAUCCGUAUCCGAAUUUCCUCAGCUUGGAGCUAUACGAUGAUGGCAAAGGGAUUCUUGAUGUUCAUGGCCGCAGCCGCCCUGGUGUGCCUCUCAGCGCCCCCGAGGGGGCUGCCCUCCCCGUGGCCUCUCCCUCACCCUCCCCGAGGCCUGACCCGGAGGCCAAAGCCGAGCCCUUCAUCGGCGGUUUGGGCAUGAUGGGCCUCGGCGGCCUCGGCGGCCUAUACGGGUAUCCUUACCUCAGCGGGUCCUACGGCUACGGGUCCUACGGCUUGGGAGGACUCGGAAUGAUGGGCGGUAUGUACGGACUCGGAGGACUCGGUAUGAUGGGCGGUCUGUACGGCGGAUUGGGCGGAUUAGGCAUGGGCGGACUGGGUCUAGGCGGCCUCGGCUUCGGACUUGGCUGGUAAUGUCCGACCUCCCUCCUUCCCCCUCCCCCCAAACCCCCGC